UUUGUGUUUUACAUUUGGGUCUAGGAUGCAUUUUGAGUUAAAUUCAAAGUGUGCAAUGUCUGUGUCUAGAUUCAUUAUUUUGUGUGUGGAUAUCCACUUGUUCUAGCACCAUUUGUUGAAAGGACUAUUUUGCUCCAUUUGUCUUGGCUCCUUUGUCAAAGAUCAGUUCACUAUAUUUGUGUGGGUCUAUUUCUGGACUCUAUGUUCUGCUCCACUGAUCUAUUUGUCUAUUCUUUUGCCAAUAGUACACUGUCUUGAUUACUGCAGCUUUACAGUAAUUCUUGAGGUUGGGUAUUAUCAGUUCUUCAGCUUUGUUCUUCUCCUUCAGUAUUGUGUUGGCUAUUCUGGGUCUUUUGCUUUUACAUAUAAAGUUUAAACUCAGUAUGCCAAAAUCCACAAAAUAACCUGCUGGGAUUUUGAUGAGGAAUGACUUAAAUUUACAAAUCAAGUUGAGAAGAACUGCCAUCUUAAUGAUAUUGAGUCUUCCUAUCUAUGAAUGAACAUGGAAUAUCUCUCCAUUCAUUUAGUUCUUUGAUUUCUGUCAUCAGAGUUUUGUAGUUUUCCUCAUAUAGAUCUUGUACAUAUUUUGUUAGAUUUAUACCUAAGUAUUUCAUUUUGGGGGGAUGCUAAUAUAAAUGAUAUUAUGUUUUUUUUUUUAAAUUUCAAGUCCCACUUGUUCAUUGAUAGUAUAUAAGAAAGUGAUUGAUUUUGUAUAUUGUGAUUGAUUUUGUAUAUUGAACUUGAAUCCUACAGUCUUGCUAUAAUCAUUUAUUAAUUAUGGGAGAUUUUUUUGUCAUUCCUUUCAGAUUUUCUACGUAGAUGAUCAUGUCAUCUUUGAACAAAGACAGUUUUGUUUCUUCUUUCCCAGUCAGUAUAUCUUCUAUUUCCUUUUCUUGUCUUACUGCAUUAUCUAGAACCUCCAGUAUGAUGUUAAAAACAAAUGGUGAAAAGGGAUAUUUUUGCUUUGUUCCUGAUUAGUGGGAGAGCUUUAAGUUUCUUACCAGUAAAUGUGAUGUUAGUUGUAGGUUUUUUUUGUGGAUAUUCUUUAUCAAGUUGAGGAAGUUAUCCUCCUCUUAGUUUACUGAGAGAUUUUUUUUUAUUAUCAUGAAUUGGUGUUUGUUGAAUUUUGGCAGAUGCUUUUUCUGCAUCUUUUGAUAUGAUGAUAUGAUUUUUCCUCUUUAGCCUGUUGAUAUGAUAGAUUAUAGUAAUUGAUUUUUGAAUUGUGAACCAGUCUUGCAUACCUGGGACAAGUCCCACUUGGUAUGGUGUAUAAUUCCUUUUACACAUUGUUGUUGGAUUCAAUUUGCUAAUAUUUUCUUAAGGAGUUCUGCAUCUGUGUUCAUAAGAGAUAUUGGCCUGCAGUUUUCUUUUCUUGCAGUAUCUUUAUCUGGUUUUGAUAUUAGGGUAGUGCUGGUCUCAUAGCACAAGUUCAGAAGAUUUCCUCUGCUUCUGUCCUCUGAAGGAGGAUAUCCUUAGAAAGAGGAUAGAGAAUUGGUAUAAUUUCUUCUUUGAAUUCACCAGUGGGCCCAUCUGGGCCUGGCACUUUCUGUUUUGGAAGAUUAUUAAGUAUUGAUUCACUUUUUAAAAUAGAUAUCGACCUAUUCAGAUUGGCUAUUUAAAAAAUUUUUUUUUCUACAUUUAUUCAUUUUUGAGAGACAGAGAGAGACAGAGCACAAGUGGGGGAGGAGCAGAAAAGGGGAGACACAGAAUCUGAAGCAGGCUCCAGGCUCUGAGCUGUCAGCACAGAGCCCGACGUGGGGCUCGAACUCACAAACCGUGAGAUCAUGACCCGAGCCGAAGUUGGAUGCUUAACCGACUGAGCCACCCAGGCGCCCCACGAUUGACUACUUUUUCUUGUGUGAGUUUUGGCAGGUUGUGUUUUUCAAGGAAUUGGUGCAUUUCAUCUAGGUUAUCAAAUGUGUGGGCAUAGAGUUGUUUAUAAUAUUCUUUUAUUAUCCUUUUAAUGCCCAUGGGAUCUGUAGUGAUAUCUUCUCUUUCAUUUCUGGCAUUAGACUUGGUUUGGUAAUAGAUGUCCAGGUAGCCAGCUCUUCCGUCUAAUCUCAUACGCCUACACCUUUGCAAUGCUGGACCACUGUUGGAAAAGUUGGAACAUUUUCUCAUUGGAUUGGCACACUUCUUAUAGUAAUUGUCCUUUCCUGUUUCAGCUCAUGCAAAAGCUUUCCCCUGCUUAUCUGCUCUCAUUCAAUGCAGAACCAAGCUGAGCUGUCUUGGCUGCAGGAAGCCACACACAUCUGCAGACUUUCCCCUGCAAUCUGGCCUAUGCUUCUCCAAGUGUGGCCAGAAUCCCUAGGAAGCUUGUUUAAAUGCACAUGCUCACUUUCAUAGAUUUUGAUUCAUAGGAAUAGGUGAAACAAGGAAUCUGUGUGUUUUUUUUAAAUUAUUUAUUUUAGAGAGCGAGCGUGCGAGAGCAUGAGUGGGGUGGGGGAGGGGAGGCAGAGAGAGAGGGAAAGGGAAUCGCAAGCAGACUCUGCGCCAUCGGCUCAGAGCUCAGAGCCUUACAUGGAGCUGGAUCUCACAAACCAUGAGGUCACAACUUGAGCCACAAUCAAGAGUCACAUGCUUAACUGACUGAGCCACCCAGGUGCCCCCAGAACCUGUGUUUUAAUAAGCCACCCCUCUCCCCUCACUGAGCUCUUACUUUAAAACUCAAGAACCAUGUAUUGGUCCAGGUCUGUCUGGUCUAGGAGAGAGUGAGGGUAAAGUGUAAUGAAAGCAUGCCUUUACCCACAGUUGCCCUUGACUCCUCUUUUGGAAUUCCCACUUCUCUCUACCCUAGUUUCUUGGGUCUUUGCAUAAUGGACUGCUACCACCAUGCCAGGCUUGUUGCUCCCUAAGCCUUUUGACUCUACUGUUGACUCUACUGUGACUCAACUGUGAUGUUUACUGAUUUUUUUUCCAGCCCUUGCUCUGCUGCUGAUAAAUAGCUUAUGCCAAGUUCUGAUCCUUCUGAUUGAGAAAGAGCCCAAUAGAGCAUGCUUAUGCUCUUGGCCACACAAGCUAGAGGGACCUAAAUAUAAAUCUUACCUCCACUCAGUAUCAUGGCUGUGUGAUCAUAUAUUUAGGUGACUUUGGGCUUCCCCUUUGGGCUUCCACUUUAUCUGUAAAAUGGAAUGAGGAUAUUCGCUAUGCCUGUGUCAAAGAGUUGACGACUGGAAAGAAUGGGCUAAUGGGUAAAUGCAUCCUAAAGGUGGGGUUGUGGCAUCACUGCUGUGCUAUAAAAGAAAAAUAUUUAAAUUAGUUGGCGUGUUCUCUUAGAAUAGUCUUUUAUGUUGAGUGCCCCCUUCCCCCAGCUACAAGUAGUGGAGGGCAUGUGGGGAAGUUUGCCUUUAUAUGAAACUUUUUAAAGUGUUGAAACUAUAGCCUCCAAUGAAAGCUGACCACCUACCAUGAACCCAAGAUCAAAGCCGUUCUCUUUUAAAUGGAAAAGGAAAAGUUAGCUUGUUAUGUUUGUCUUUCUUCACGUGGGGUGCCUUCUCAGGGCUUGCUACUUCAAGAGUGUGAGCCUAGACAAAUGCCUCUAAAGUAAACCCAUAUCCUCACUUGUGAAAUGGAAAGGACUAGGGUACCUCCCCGAAAUUAUGCGUUAGUUCACAUACAUACAUUGUCAGGGAGAAAACUGCUCUUGGAGAGCUGAGGCCUUCACACCUGCCAGCUGAGGCACUUACGGCUAUGCUGGCUGCUUCUAAGAAGGCUCUGUUUCUCAUGCUUGACCAGCUUCGCGUCUGGGCGGCUGGGAACCAGAAAGCACUGCCCAGCAGUGAGUCCCCUCCUCCCAGGCUAAACUGCCGACGUUGCCCUCUGGAGGUUUAUGCCCUUUUGGUGUCGAAGUAGCUGGCCUCCUGCUUUUAACAAUUAAUGGCUGUACACAUUUGGAGUCUACUGCAUGUGGUGGGUGCAAACCUGAGCCUAUGAGUCCAUGCUUUAAUUGUGCAAAGGACUUUGAAGCAGGCCUUUCCCAAGCUGGUGGUGUGCAUGGGAAAUGCCUUGUAGAUACCACUCACAAUAGGGAAACCCUCUCCUGUGUACUGUGAUUGGGGCAGAAAGCCUCAAUAAAGGGCCAAGCUUUGAGGUAUUUUAAAAGAGAGAUUAACACUUAUUGUAGAAGUGCUAAUCACUGGUUGAAUUAAUCAAGGGCCAAACUACAAGGUGUUAACAAGAAAGAUUAGUGACUUUGGGUGUGAAUAUUCAAAACCAGGGAUUGGGAAACCUAUGACCAGGGUUUUCCCUGGUGCAUAACAGAAAAAAACAAAACAAAACAAAAAAAGACAAGGUAAUGAACUACUACUUUUACCCAGCAGUUUCCUCUUGAGCAGGCUGGGGAAUUGCUGUUAAGAAAAAAAAAAAUUAAAUGUCAAGUUCAUGGAACUGUGCUGGGUUUACAACAGACUCUAUAAAUGUUGGCUAUUGUUAUUCCUUGUGUCCGUUAAGGUUCCUUGUUAGGAAUGUCAACGGAGGACUAGGGAGAAACUUUUGUUUUCUUUUUUUUUUUUUUUGAAACUUUUGUUUUCUUAAGAGAAAAACACGUCUGGCUCAAUUACUCUUUUUUUUUUUUUAAUGUUUUUUAUUUUUGAGACAGAGAGACACAGAGCAUGAACAGGGGAGGGGAAGAGAGAGAAGGAGACACAGAAUCCGAAGCAGGCUCCAGGCUCUGAGCUGUCAGCACAGAGCCCGACGCGGGGCUUGAACCCACGGACCGUGAGAUCAUGACGUGAGCCGAAGUUGGACGCUCAACCGACUGAGCCACCCAGGCGCCCCUCUUAUUAUUUUUUUUUAAUUGAAGCUUAAUUUGCCUUCAGGGAAUUGAACAGUUCUUAAACAUACAGUUUAAGCUCAACUACUUUUAUAAGAAAGGACUGGAGAAAAUACUUCAGUGCUACCAUAUGUAUUAAAUUUUUCCCUCCUUUCUGGAAAAAAGUGAUUUGUAAUCUGAGAAGCAAAUAACCAAGGAAAUAGAAUUUGAAAGUGAAAUUAGAACAAUAAGGAAAUGGCUGAUUCGAAUAAACAGCUAUGUCCAAAUCACUAAGUCUGAAUAAAUGGUUUUCUAGGAGGUCUGUGUUUGCAGCAAAUAACAACGAGAGGGCAGAGGUGGUCACCUGGAGGAGGUUGCUGAGAAAAUGAAGAGGUUUGAGAAUGAGGUGUUAAUUUUAGAAGAAUAUGAUGAAAAAGGUUGAAGCAACCCAAAGGGGAGAAAAAAGGGAAAUAGGUAAUAAAUUAGGUGGGGUGAAUUUGAAAAAAAAAUUAUUUAAAAAAAUCUGUGUGGAGCAAUCGAGAACUGAAUGGGUGUCUUUUUAGUACUGAAUUGAGGAAGGAUGAGAGCACUUACAUUUAUUGGGCCUAGAAGGGUUAUUGAAUGACUGGGAGAAGUAAAAGGAUAAUUUCGUUUCAGCCUCCAGCCCAAAGAUGACUUCACAUUUAGACAAUUCCAGACUAAGCACCUUAAAUAGGCCAUCUCUUGGGAUCUUCAUUAUAAUCCUACAAGGUAAUGAGCUUUAGCUGAAGCUCGGUAUGAAGUUUUGGAGAUACCUACUCAGUGCAUGUGUUGAAUGUAAGCCAGCCAAAAUGGAUCCAAAGCUGAUGAAGCACACAUUUAAAUUUUCUUUGAUAGAAAAAAAUGUUUACUGUAUAAAUUUCAUAGGAUUAUUCAGGUAAUUGCCAUGUUUAAAAUUUUCAUCACCUAGACUAGCACUGUCCAACAGGAAUGUAACAUAAGCUACAUGAUGUAAUUUAAAAUCUUCCAGUAGUCACAUUUAAAAAGGUAAAAUAAAUGAAAAACAAGUAAAAUAAAUGAAUAAAAUUAAUUUAAGUAAUAUAUUUUAUUAAUGUAUAAUUUCAACCAGUAAUAAAUAUACACAAUAUUAUUAAUGAGGUAUUUUACUAUUUUUUGUUUUGUUUUGCUUUUACUGAAUCUUUGAAUUCUGGUGUAUAUUUUGGGACAACCUAUUUCAGCUUGGACUAGCCACAUUUCAAGUGCUCAUUAGCCUUGUGUAGCAACUGUAAUGGACAACAGAAACAUGGAGUAGGCCCUUUCUAGCCUUUGGAGAUGACUCAGUAAGUCAAGAGUAUCAGAGGCCCACCAGAAUGUGAAUGAGUGAUUCGUGAAUAUCUCUCUCUAUUUUUUUUUAUUUAUUCUUGAGAGAGAGAGAGAGAGAGAGAACGAGCAGAUGAGAGGCAGAGCAAGAGAGGAGUAUAGAAUCCAAAGCAGGCUCCAGGCUCUGAGCUAUCAGCACAGAGACCGAUGUGGGGCUCAAACUCACGAGCGGUGAGAUCAUGACCUGAGCCAAAGUCAGGCGCUUAACUGACUGAGCCAUCCAGGAACCUCUUUCCUCUUUUAUUUUCCAGAGGAAAAGGCCAUAAUUUGAUUUUGCUUGUUUGUUUCCAGCACUGAUACAGAUAAAAUGGAAGUUACUUGUGAUCAGUUUUCCUUUGGUCCUAAUCCUGUCUCUAGGAGCAGUGUGUUACCAGUGUGGUGCUUCUAGAUCUAGUUGUAUGAUUUUACAUAUAUGCAUACAUCCAGAAAUAUAUUGUUGACACGUGUGUUUUUUAGAAAUUGGUGAAAUAGCAUACUUUUCCCAAUUUGCUUUUCUCAUUUAAGAAUUUGGCUUUGAGAUCUCUUGUUGUUGGUAGAUUUUUAUCAACCUCAUUCUUUUAAACUGUUGCAUAGUCGUCUAUAAUAUAACUAUUUCCUCAUCAAUGGACAAGCUCUUUCUUUCUUUUUUUAGUGUUUGUUUAGUUUUGAGAGGGGUGGGGGAGGGGCAGAGAGAGAGGGAGACAGAGAAUCCUGGCUCUGCGCUGACAGCAGAGAGCCCAACAUGGGGCUUGAACUCACGAACUGUGAGAUCAUGACCUGAGCUGAAGUUGAAUGCUUAACUGACUGAGCCACCCAGGCACCCCUGGACAGGCUCUUUCUAACAUAAAUGUAAUGGCUUUUUUUUUUUUUUUUUUUAGUUUAUUUUUGUGUGUGAGAGAGAGCGAGCGAGCGAGCGAGCAGGUGGGGAAGGGGCAGAGAGAGAGAAGAAGAAAGAGGAUCCAAAGUGGGCUCCAUGCUGACAGCAGAGAGCUGGAUGCGGGGCUUGAACUCAUGAAACAUGAGACCAUUACCUGAGCCGAAGUCAGACGCAUAACUGACUGAGCCACCCAGGCACCCCCGUAAUGGCUUGUUUCUGGUGAUGAAAAUAGCAUCAUUUUCUGAGAGGAGGAUGGCAGGUCUGUCAGAGAUUGGGAAAUUAAAUAAAUUGUUCAAACUGUAUGGCUGAGAGCCACUGCUGAUGCCUCUCUAACUUUCCCGAGCCCUCUCUUGGAGCUAUGCCAUUUCCCCUUUGAGAUGCUCAAAAUAAGUAAUUGCAAGCAUUUCUUUGCUAGAGGAUACCUUGGCUUCUCAGGGGCUUGAAACUGGGGUGGAGGAUGAAUAGAAAGAAAAUAAUUUUGUUAAAGCUCAGGAGAGAUACCAUGUCCAACCAGAAAUGAUGUGAUCCUAGUUUGGAAAAUUCACUGGGAUUCUUUACACCCUCACCACCAUCCUCCAGGGGCUCAAAGCCCUCAUGUUGCUUCUGCUUCUGGCUGCUCACUGAUGUCCCGAACAGGACCUGCCUUCUCCUCUCCUCUCUGCUAGUGUCUCAUACUCCAAAUUUUUUGUCACUUCAACUUCUCCCAAGGAAUGAAAUUAAUUCAACCCAUCCACAUUCAUGACAACAACCAACAGACCUCUAACCUUCAUGAAGAGAUCUGUACUUUAAAAGAUGUGUUAAAUUGGUGGUUCUCUAUUCUCUCCAUCCAACUAUCCAUUCAUUCAACAAACCUUUAGUGAAUGUCUACCAAGUGCUGGGCACUAGGUUGGGCCCUGGAGAGGCAAAGAAACUUUUAGGUGCUGUGUAGGGGGUGGGCAGUUUUGGGGUGAUAUUGGAAGAGUGUGCUGUAACAGGGAGACAUUUCAGGGUUCUACCUAACACAGAAUUUAAAGACAGCCCUGAGUAAAAACUUAAUAGAAAGGUAAAAGUCCAUUUAAAGGUGCUCUGAAAUAGAACACACACUCUUCCACCCCAUGCCCUGUCCCUAGGGCUUUUUCCUCUCUCUCUUUGUCCUCACGUUGUCCUGGCUGUGCAAGGUUCUUUGCCUCUUCUCUCUCCAUAGCACAGCUGCCUCUUACUUCAGACAAGGAACAAAUUUGGCACAUUAGACACAGACAGUCCAGAGCCCAUGAUACAAAGCAUCAGUGAUGAAAUACUAAAUCUCUUUUGUGAGACAGGUUUUUGUGCAAAGCAGAUGCUGUUUAAGCAUGUGAUUAGCAACUUUUCCCCCAUGGAAGCACAUAAUAAAACCAUUUACAUAAUAUGUUCAAUAAUAAACUAUGCAUCGUAGCAUUGUACUAACAUAAAAUACUUUUGAAACAGAUUUCUGCUUCCUCUCCGUCCCCAUGUUGACCAGACAAGCCUGGCAUCUACCCAAAAAGGAUUUUAAAUUAGUGAGUCAUUAGGCUGUGUAAAAAGAACUUACCUUGUGUAAAGGUACCCUCUUCCACAAAACAGAAGGGCCUCAAUGACCACCACUCAUUUAAAGUGAAGAUUAAACAUUUUAACCAGAGCAGUGCCCUAAUUCAGCAAAUUUUAUUUAUGUCCAAAUGCAGUGCUAUUGGCAAUGAAGAGCAAUUCAAGAAGUCAUAACCAAAGAAAAUUAUUGUGAGGGCCUUCAGAGUUUCCUAUAAAUUUACCCUGGUGACCUCAGAGCCAAUGCUGGACCACAUAGUCAAAUAUUUGUAUUAGGUGUUCCUGUGUUUAACACACUAAUUAAAAAGAUGGAAUUCUUUGAUUCUAUCUCAAAUCAUUUUACUUCUAAUCUCUUUCUGGAAAGGCUUGCUGGAUAAAUGGAACUAAGAGUGUGCUUUCUAAAAAGAGUUUUUACUGUGUUGCAAUAAAUCUGGGGACCGAGGACAUUAAUGUACCUGAAGUGGUCUUAAUGAGUCUAUGGUGGAGAUCAUCCUUCGAGUCCUGUUUCAGGGACCUUUACCUUGAAGGUUAUAAAUCCUUUGAGAAAUGACUAUAAUGGAGGAAAGCUUUACCAAAGGAAACAUUCAGUUCAAACAUAGCUAAAUGCACACUGGCCGGAUAGGCAGGUUUAAGGACAGGUGAGGAAGCCAUGACACUUUGAAGCAUUAACUCAAAGUGAGGGGAGAUCACAUGAUUGGCCCUGAAAUCUACUCAGAGGAAACAAAAAUACCAUUUGUAAAUCUCUCCAUUGUCCUUCAAAUAAUAUAUUUCUCUUCCUUUCUUUACUAUUUAUAAUUAGGGGUGGGAGGGCUACAGAGACCUCCCAUCCAAAACGUAGUCUGAGUACCAUCUGCAUCAGAACCACUUGGGGGAAUUGUCAAGAAUGGAUAUUCUUGUGAAGGAGACAACCAACAAAACUAAAAGGCAGUCUACGGAAUGGGAGAAGAUAUUUGCCAGUGACACAUCUGAUAAAGGGUUAGUAUCCAAAAUCUAUAAAGAACUUAUCAAACUCAGCACCCAAAAAACAAAUAACCCAGUUAAGAAAUGGGCAGAAGACAUGAAUAGAAACUUUUCCGAAGAAGACGUACAGAUGGCAAACAGACACAUAAAAAGAUGCUUAAUAUCACUCAUCAUCAGGGAAGUACAAAUCAAAACCACAAUGAGAUACCACCUCACACCUGUCAUUAUGGCUAAAAUUAACAACACAAGUAACAAGAGGUGUUGGUGAGGAUGCAGAGAAAGGGGAACCCUCUUGUACUGUUGGGAAUGCAUACUGGUGCAGCCCCUCUGGAUAACAGUGUGGAAGCUCCUCAAGAAACUAAAAAUAGAACUAUGAUCCAUCAAUUGCACUAUUAGAUAUCUAUCCAAAGGAUACAAAAAUAGAGGUUUGAAGGGGUACAUGCACCCCAAUGUUUAUAGCAACAUUAUCACCAAUAACCAAACCAUGGAGAGGGCCCAAAUGUCCACGGACUGAUGAAUGGAUAAAGUAGAUGUGGGGUGUGUGUGCGUGUGUGUAAUGGAAUAUUACUCAGCCAUCAAAGAUGAUGAAAUCUUGCCAUUUGCAAUGAUGUGGAUGGGGCUAGAAUACAUUAUGCUGAGUGAAAUAAGUCAAUCAGAGAAAGAAAAAUACCAUGUGAUUUCAUUCACGUGUGGAAUUUAAGAAACAAAAUGGAUGAAUAUAUUGUGGGGGGUGGGAAGAGAAGAGAGGGAAACAAACCACAAGAGACUCUUAAUGAUAGAGAACAAACUAUGGGUUGACGGAUGGAGGUGGGUGAGGGAUGGGCUGGAUGUGUGAUGGGUGUUAAGGAGGGCACUUGUGACGAUGAGCCCUGGGUGUUGUAUAUAAGUGAUGAAUCACUGAAUUCUACUUCUGAAACCAAUAUUGCACUGUAUGUGAACUAAAGUUUAAAAAGAAGAAGAAGGAAAAAGAAUGGACAUUCUUAGUCCAAGCCUCCUUCCUGCUGAACCAGAAGCCUUCAUGGUGCUGGCAGUGGUGGUGUGAGGGGAAGGUUGGAAGGCUUGGAUUCUUGGAUUUUAUCAUUUUUUUCGUCUUUAAAGUUGAAAUAUUUAUUUAUUAAUCUCUUUUGAGAUAACAAUAAAAACAUCACACGUUAACAUACACAUCUCAUGAACAAUAAUUAUAUUUUCCAAAACAACAAAUAAUUUAGUGAGAAGAGUGGUAUCAUCUUUAUAUUUUUGCAAAUCUCCUUAUUAUCCAGGCUUUAAUUAAGGACAGGUGGAUUCUCUUUUCUGCUUUUGCAUUGAUUGAAUCUGUUGUGAUACGUUGUUUUGGUUGAAGUCUGGGGAGUCUCGUACAGGUAUGUAGUUGGAAAAAAUAAGGAUAUUUUAAUAGCAUUCUCAGAUAAUUGUGAUUUUUUUUGAUAUUUCACUAAAAUGGGACAAGUAACAGUUUCUUAAAGGGUAAUUACAGUGUGGAAUCUGAUAUCACAUCACCAGAGUUUUCAUACUGUUACAUUAAAAUUUACUCAUCUAUGUGAGAUCUGGCGUUUUUGAUCAGCUACUUAGUAUAUCCUUAUACAGACCAUAGAACCCCCAAUGCAGUUCAAUUCCUUUAUUACACGGAAGUAAAACUGAGGCCCUGUAAAUGCAUCUGCUUGUCACAGGGCCUGAAGGCUUUUCCUUUUGUGAUACUCCUUAGUCACUAAUACAGUGCUGGAAGUAUAAUGGGAGACCUGUACAUUCUUCUGUAUUCCUCUAAAUUUCUUUGGGUCCAACAGUGUAUCCCAAAGAGGGAAAUGGGGAGAAAGGCUGCUUAUCCGGGUGGGUAACUUAUUCAGGGCAGGACAUUGAGGGAAGUAAAUAGAAGGCAGAAACCAAACCAGAAAUCUAAUGACUUCCUUUGUAUCAAGAGGCAAACUUGGGUCUUCACCACCGGAUAAUAACUUUCAUUUUCAGAUUCCUGACACAUUAGAGCAGGGUAAGGUGUUGGCAUCUUGUGAUCAAAUCAUGACCCUUCUCACAGUGUGUGGAAACAUUCAUAUUUAUGCCAGUGUUUGUUCAUGUAGUUUUACUGGAGUCUUCUUUCCUCUAGCAAGAUAUGGGUUAUCAAAGAUGCUUAAAAUUGUCUCUCACCUGAAAUAAAUGCACCUUCUUCAGGAGAGGAAGGGAGAAGGGUGCUGAUGUUACAGCCAACCAGGACAGAGACUUUUAAUGACCCUCAGGAUCCAUUCUCACUUUCCGUCAUAACAAAAUGUGCAGCUGUGUAGGUGCAACUACAUCUUCCAGCAUCUCUUGCCGCUAAGUGUUACUUAGUUACUUACAACUGCUGUGGGGGCAGUUCUGGAAACCUUCCUUAAUGGGAUGCAUGGGUGGCUGAGUUGGUUAAGCAUCUGACUCUUGGUUUCGGCUUAGGUCAUGAUCUCACGGUUUGUGGGUUUGAGCCUCACGUUGGGCUCCAUGCUAACAGCGUGGAGCUGCUUGGGAUUCUCUUUCUCCCUCUCUCUCUGUGCCUCCCCUGCUCACUCUCUAUCCCUCUCUCUCUCUCUCAAAAUGAAUAAAUAAACUUUAAAUAAAAGGAGCUGGGGUGCCUGGGUGGCUCAGUCGGUCAAGUAUCCGACCUGGGCUCUGGUCAUGAUCUCUCGGCUCAUUAGUUCAAGCUCCAUGUUGGACUCUGUGCUGACAGCUCAGAGCCUGGAGCCUACUUCAGAUUCUGUGUACCUUUAUCACUCUGCCUUUCCCCCGCUCAUGCUCUGUCUCUCUGUCUCUCUCAGGAAUAAAUAAAAUUAAAAGAGAAAAAAAAAGGGCUGACUGGCAUAUUCCCUUUGCCCUUUCUUAUUUCCUUCCUUCUGGAGAGAGGGGUUGGACCUCCACUGGCUGGACAAGGCCUGAGUGUAGGGUCCUAUGAAUGGUGAGCAGAAAGCUGGAAGGAGCCCAAGACCCUGAGAACUUCGGGGAGCAGAAUUAUCAUCUGAGCCUGGGCUUACCUUUGGAUGGAUACACGAGAAACAAAUGCAAUUCCAGGUUGUGGAACUCUCUUUUUUUCUGGAUCUGUAUUACUUGCAGCUAACCCUAGCCUAACUGAUACUUCCUUUUAUAUGCGAGAGAGGGACAUCUUGCUGACACCCUGUGAGCCCUUCACCCUGUGACCAGUUGUCUUCUGAUGUUAUCACUUUCAAGAACUUUUGCAGGGUGGAGCAGAAUCCUGGGGAGGCCUGGCCUCUCCCAGCUGCCCUGGAACCCAGGGCUUGGUACUGUGUCCCCAUCAAGAUGCAGGAGAGAAAUCUUGCUCUGCUGUUAUUCCCUGGGCUCUGUCCUCGCCCUCCAUCAGGAACCAGGAGAGAGACAGAGCAUGAACGGGGGAGGGUCAGAGGGAGAGGGAGACACAGAAUCUGAAACAGGCUCCAGGCUCUGAGCGGUCAGCACAGAGCCCGAUGCGGGGCUCAAACUCACGGACCGCGAGAUCAUGACCUGAGCCGAAGUUGGACGCUUAACCGACUGAGCCACCCAGGCACCCCUCAAUAAAGAUGUUUUAGAAAAGAAUGUAUAUCAGAUGCUUAGCACAUAAUUAAUGCUCAGUAAGUCCUCACUUCUUGGACUUUCUCUUUGCCUGGUUUGACUCCAGCAGCUGACUGUGGACAUUUGCUCCUAUUUGCAACACUCUGGCUUGUCAUUAGCUUUAAGUGCAGGCCUUUUUCUUCCUCCCCUGUUAAACACCUGGCAGACUUACUUUGUCUCCUUUUGAGGGUUGAUUAUUUAGGGGCAGUCUGCUUGCUGCUCCUCAUUGCUUGUCCUCUGUCUGGGCCUGGGCUGUCCUGAAUGUGCCCUCCUUCACGGAGCCUGUUAAAAUCACCUUCCUGGCUACCUUUCAGACCUUUCCUCUCUCCUCCUUCAUCAACAAACACUUGGUAGGUAAUGACCCUCCACUGAGCACUGCUAGGCAUUGUGGGUGAUGUGAGGACGUUAAAGACUCCGCCCCCCCCCCCCCCCAACAGCUCUUUGAUUGUGGUUGGGGAAAUAGCACAUAGAUACAAAAACACAAGUAGGGUGAGGACACAAGUCCGUUAAGUGUCAAUUGUGUAAUUCUCACUCAGGUGCUAUGGGAGUUUAGACCGAGGUGGGAGAUCAUUGGUCAGGGAUGUCUUCAAAACACAGUUGGUUUUUCACUGAUGGGCAGGUUUCAUUGUGGAAGGGAAAAAGGCGGGUAAGUGAGCAAAGGCAGGGGUAUGUGUCUUCUUUCUUCCUGCCCUAUACAUUUAUUGAGCACAUAUUAUGUGCUAGACCCUGAGGGGCUUUAAUAAGAUUUGUCUGCCCUGUAGGAGCUUACAGAUGUGGGGAAGCUGGGCACACAGAGAUGAUAGCAAUCUGUGCAGACGGUGAAGCAAGUGAGGUAUUUGCCUGAGGGAGUUUGUGAAGGCAUCACAGAAGAGCUGACAUUUGGGCGCUAGAGAGGAGAGGUGAGGAAGCAGGUGGCAUGUCAAAUCAGGUGCUGAGGAAGCAGGGUGCAGCAAAAACAGAGGCCAGAGGCCUGAAGGCUGGGAUCAAAGGCCUGGAGCUGAUGAGGCUGGUAGGCUGUGUUGGGACUUAAUUGUAAAGUUACGGUGUUUUAUCUGAAGUAGUUUAUGUUUGAUUCUGAGGCAAUCUGUGGGGGGCACCCUUUCUACAUCUCUCAGGCAAAACUGUCUAAUCCCAGUUCUGCCUUUCUUUUUCUGUUCAACAUUAGAUCUCUUCCAGUGCUUCCUGCAGCAAGGCUCCUCCUCGCUUUCGUGAAGCUGCUGCCAAAAGUCAUCUUUUCUUGAAGCCUUGCUGUGUAGGUCCCCAGGGAAGGCACACUUCUUUACGCAUCUUUCACAUCUUUCACAAACCUUCCUGGAGGUGGGGAAGGAAGUUUGCAUGGCAACUCCCUGGCAGUGAUCACCAAAUUCAGAAUCAAAAUAACAUUGAUCCCAUGGGUUUUUACCUGUGGUCAAAUGCAGCACGUCUAUGCUUGCCUUUCCAAAUUUUGUUUUGAUUAAAACAUUUUUAAAUGCAGACCUAGAUCCCUCAACAAACAAGCCCUUAUAAUAUUCCUGAACUAAAUUAGUACACUAUCCAUAGAAUUUUUCCGUGUGCUGAAAAACUUAAGACAUAUUUCUUAAAAAAAAGCCCUAAAUCUCUUUGUGAAUCAUUGAAGGGUUAGUAGAAAUGCAUAUAACACAUCCAAAUGCAUUUAAGAAGUGUUUUUAUUUUUAUUAUUUAAAAAAAUAUUUUAUUUUUGGGAGAGCGCAAUCAGGGGAGGGGUAGAGAGAGGGAGACCGAGGAUCCGAAGUGGACUCUGUGCUGAGAGCGUUGUGAGCCCAAUGCGGGGCUCGAACUCACAAACCAUGAGACCAUGACCUGAGCUGAAGUUGCACACUCAACUGACUGAACCACCCAGGUGCCCCAAGAAGUGUUUUUAAACAGAGCACUGUACUGUACAGAUCAUUAUUUCUACAAUCUACAAGCAAAAUGAGAUUGUAGUUUCCAAACCAAAGGGCAGGUUUGUUGACUGAAUUCAUACUCAUUUAUCAUGCUCUCCUGUACUGUAUUAAUAUUUUUAACUGGCUAGUCAAUCAUGAAAAAAUCAAAUCCUCAGUAAAUCUUAUCAGUACCACAAAAAUAAUGGGAUUUCUGUUUACAAGGUGUCGAUUGUGUUCAGAGUCUUUGAUAAUGACUGCAGACAGUCAAUAAACACUGAGACAUUUACAUGGUCAGUAGGAGCCUAACUAAACUAUCUAAUCUUUCAAAAGACAGUCAACACAAUGAACUCUAAACCUAAUCCCUUCAAAUACUGGAGAGACAGUUUAGUGCUUUAAAUACUACUCAACCCAAAACCCCACACUAAAAAGAACCAUUAAGGCUUUUUCUUAAACUCACAGAAGCGGGACAUUCUGAUUUCAGUUCCAUUCUCUGAUGGCAAAUCUUUACCUUAUAAUCUAAGUUCAACCUUUUAUAGGAUCUGGGGUUUGUGAAGGGUGACAGGUAUUGUAGGUAUGUACAACUUGACUAAAAAGUGAAAGAGGAGUAGUGUUUGUUGCUUAUUUUAAACUUUUUAAAACUUUUUACAUCUUUUUUUUUUUAAUUUCAGGAAAGCAGAACACAUUACUUGCUGGCUUUGUUUGUUAAUAACCAAAUAAACUCACAUUUACUCAGAAUUGGUGUUAUAUUUAUUGCUGGGAGAUUAAAAAUAAAAAAGCUGAAAGGGGUGGGAGGAAAGGAGGCUAUUAAUUGACCAUUUCCUCUCUUCCAAGCCUGUGUUACUCAAUGAAGACAAAGGUUUAAAGUCCUAAAAUCCUGACAAGAGACUUUAUAUAAGGGAAAUUGAAAGUGCCUGACUAUGGAGUCACUAAUUUUAGACACUAGAAGAUACUUUGAGUUUUCAGUGGUAGAGACAAAGAGAAAGAAUUUCAGCAUGACUUGUGUAUAUGCCCUUUUGAUUCUAAGAUAUUUUGUGAUGUUAGUCAUAUUGAAGAGCUUGGGAGAGCAUUCGCUUGAUACUGGCUGUAGGAGAGUGAGCCCUGGCGCUCCACUCAGAAAGAAUGGCUUUCCUGAGAUGUUUGAUUUGGGGCUUCUUUUCUCUUCUUGUCCGUGUCCAAGGCAUUAGGCUCUUCAUUGUUCCUUCUAAAGAGCUUGGCCAGGGAGGCUCUGGUCUAUCGCUCCAUUCCACACCCGAGGCAAGAGUGGGCUCAAGAAAGAGUAACCUAGCUCCUGUGGGAGAGCUUAAAACAGAUGUGACCUUGCUUUGAAAUCUGAUUAACACAAUAGACUGCCUGAGAUCUGAUGUUCAGUUCUCUUUAGGCUACAGAAAUGAGAGAUUCUUUGGUUGACUUGGCAUUCUGCCAUGUCAGAGAGCCCACUGGAAUCUCUACUUUGCCAUUUGCAGGAAAUGGCAGGAAGUGUGUGAAAAUCUGGAAUCCAGCAACAGGAUUUAAUCAUGCCACAUUAUGAGGUCACUCUCUCCGUCACUGAGAGGGGAGAAGACUGAUUUAUUUAUUUUAUUUAAAAAAUACUUCCAUUAAGUUUUAAAAUUGUAAUUCUAGUAGAGCUAACAUACAGUGUUAUAUUAGUUUCAGGUGUACAGUAUGGUGUUCAGUCACUCCAUAUAUUAUUACUCAGUGGCCAUCAUGAUAAAUGUAUUCUUUAAUCCUCGUCACCUAUUUCACCUAUCUCCCCCACACACCUCUCCUUUGGUAGCCAUCAGUGUGUUCUCUAGAGUUAAGAGUCUGUUUCUUGGUUUGUGUGUGUAUCUCUUUUUUUUCCUUCGUUCAUUUGUUUUGUUUUCUAAAUUCCACAUAGGAGUGAAAUCCUAGGGCAUUUCUCUUUCUCUGACUUAUUUUGCUAAGGAAGCCUGAUUUAUUUAUUUUGGGGUGAGUUUAUGUGGGAGCUCACACUGGCAAGCCCCUGAGUUCUAGCAUUUUUGGACAUCAUUAAGGCUUAUAUUUGUGGACAUUGAAACACUCUGUGAAUUUCAACAAUCCUUCAACCCCUUUGGAACCUAAGAUCUAUUAAUCCAACUGUGUUUUCACUGCCGCUUACUCUUUUCAGGUCCUCACUUCCCUCCUUACUCAGCUUAAAUCUGUGGUCAAAUUUUUCAUCACUUCCUUGAACAUACUCUCGAUUUCCUUGUCCCUCUCCCACUUGGUUAAGCUUACUUAGCUAAACUACAACCCUUAUUAAAUUCACCUUUUCCCUACUCCUUUCCACACAGUUGAAUGAAGCUGGAGAAAAACGCACCAUCAAGCUGACUGGUCUCAUUUUGAAUUGCGGAUCAUUCAUCUCUAGUGGACUCUUCCAGCUGCCCAGCAACCAAACUAUCUUUCCCUAGGCUUUUCAUUCAUUUACUCUACUGGCAGGGGAUGAUUUUACGCCGUUUUCUUCUCUUUUCAAUACUUCAACCACACGUUCCCCAUCCUCACUGUCAUGAUGAUCUUGCUUCCUAUAUACUGAGAAUAUGGAAGCCAUCAGAAGAAAACUCCAUCAUAAGCUCCCUUAACCACAACUACCCAUCUAUCAGUAUCUGGGCUCAUAGACUCUGUCUUCCCUCCUGCUCUACUGGGUGAACUGUCCGUAUACUCUUGGUUUUUCUUUUAAGUUUAUUUAUUUAUUUUGAGAGAGAAACAGAGUGUGUGAGUAGGGGAGGGACCCAGAGAGAGAAUCCCAAGCAGGCUUUGUGCCAUCAAUGCAGAGCCUGAUGUGGGGCUCUAUCUUGUGAACCAUGAGAUCGUGACCUGAGCUGAAAUGAAGAGUCAGACGCUUAACUGACUGAGCCACCCAGGCUCCCCACUGUCCAUAUACUCUUUACAAAGGCUAACCACUCCAUGUAUACACCAGAUUCCACCCCCUUUGCCUACCCAGUCAAGGACCGUGCUACAGGCAAUCUUCCACCCUCCUCUGCAUCAAUUUUCCCCUCCCUUUCCCAGUACUGUGUAAGUAUUCUCUCAUCAUAAAAACAAACUCUCUCAAUUCCCCUUCCCCUUCCAGUUUCUCUCUCCCUCUGUUCUUCUCUUUCCUUUUAUAGCAGAAUUCCUAAAAAUAUUGUAUCUGCUUGCUGUUUCCAAUUCUUCUUCCUUUCUCCUCUCUUAGUCCCACUCUCCACUGAAACCGCCCUUCUAAGGCACGUGCAGCAAUGCAGUGGUUGAUUUUCAACCACAUCUUCUUAGUCCAUUCAUCAGUUGAUGGACAUUUGGGCUCUCUCCAUAACUUGGCUAUUGUUGAUAGCGCUGCUGUAAACACUGGGGUGCAUGUGUCCCUUUGAAUCAGCAUUUUUUAAUACUUUGGAUAAAUUCCCAGUAGUGCAAUUGGUGGGUCAAAGGGUAGUUCUAUUUUUAAUUUUUUGAGGAACCUCCAUACUGUUUUCCAGAGCAGCUGCACCAGUUUGCAUUCCCACCAACAGUGCAAAAGGGUUCCCCUUUCUCCACAUCCUUGCCAACAUCUGUUGUUUCCUGAGUUGUUAAUGUUAGCCAUUCUGACAGGUGUGAGGUGGUAUCUCAUUGUGGUUUUGAUAUUUAUUUCCCUGAUGAUGAGUGAUGUUGAGCAUCUUUUCAUGUGUCUGUUAGCCAUCUGGAUGUCUUCUUUGGAAAAGUAUCUAUUCAUGUCUUCUGCCCAUUUCUUCACUGGAUUAUUUGUCUUUUUGGGUGUUGAGUUUGGUAAGCUCUUUUUAGAUUAAAUAAAUUUUUUUUAAUGUUUAUUUAUUUUUGAGAGAGAGAGACAGAGAGACAGAGCACAAGUGGGGGAGGGGCAGGGAGAGAGGGAGACACAAAAGCCUGAAGUGGUCUGCAGGCUCUGAGCCAUCAGCCCAGAGCCUGACACGGGGCUCAAACCCAUGAACCAUGAGAUCAUGACCUGAGUCAAAGUCAGACGCUUAACCAACUGAGCCACCCAGGAGUCCCUAUAGCUUUUUGAUACUAACCCUUUAUCAGAUAUGUCAUUUGCAAAUAUCUUCUCCCAUUCCAUCGGUUGCCUUUUAGCAGCAAUCAGACAACAAAAUGAAAUAAAAAGCAUCAAAAUGGGCAAAGAAGAAGUCAAGCUUUCACUUUUUGCAGAUGAAAUGCUACUCUAUGUGGAAAACCUGAAAGACUCCACCAAAAAACUGCUAGAGCUGAUACAUGAAUUCAGCAAAGUUACAGGAUAUAAAAUCAAUGUACAGAAAGCAGUUGCAUUUCUAUACACUAAUAAUGAAGUAACAGAAAGAGAUAUCAAGGAAUCGAUCCUAUUUACAAUUGCACCAAAAACCAUAAAUACCUAGGAAUAAAUCUAACAAAAGAGGUAAAAGAUCUGUACGCUGAAAACUAUAGAAAGCUUAUGAAAGAAAUUGAAGAAGACAGAAAAAUGGAAAAACAUUCCAUGCUCAUGGAUUGGAAGAACAAAUAUUGUUAAAAUGUUGAUACUACCCAAAGCAAUUUAUACAUUCAAUGCAAUCCCUAUCAAAAUAACACCAACAUUCACAGAGCUGAGAACAAGCAGUCCUAAAAUUUAUAGGGAACCAGAAAAGACCCUGAAUAGCCAAUGUAAUGUUGAAAAAGAAAACCAAAGCUGGAGGUGUCACAGUCUUGGACUUUAACCUGUACUACAAAGCUGUAAUCAUCAAGACAGUAUGGUUCCAAUCUUUUUGACAUUUCCCCACCUUCCUUCCUGCUGCCUGAAUUGAGGACUUGGUAGCUAGAGUUUCAGCAGUGUUUUCAUCCUGGAUGACCUUAAGUGUGGAAGCCACAUGCUAAAGACAGAAGGCUGAAGCAUAGAUGCAGUCUGAGUGUCGAUGGUGUUGUGGAGUUGCCCCAGACUGUCCUAGUCCAUAUUUGGACUCUUUUACAUGAGAGAACAAAGGGCAUUCUAGUCUGUUCUCUGGGACCUGAUGCUUAACGUAAUUCCUACCAAUUACAUUUUCACGUAUUUCUUCUGGCUCUUUCACAGAACCUAGCAUAGUGCUAAGCACAAAACUGGUCCUCAAUAAAUGAUAGUAGUUGGGGUGCCUGGAUGGUUCAGUCAGUUGAGUGUAUGACUCUUGAGUUUGGCUCAGGUCAUGGUCUCAAAGUCGUGGGAUCAAGCCCUGCAUCAGGCUCCAUGCUGAGUGUGGGGCUGCUUGAGAUUCUCUCUCUCUCUGUCUACCCCUAUUCCCCCGCAUGCAUGCUCUGUCUUUCUAAAAUAAAAAAAUUUAAAAAAUAGAAUAAAUGACAAUGAUUGGUUGGUUAUGAUAAAGCAAAUCUCAAAGUUUUGUUUGACAUAUUCAUUUCUAACACUGUCAGUAAUGAUGUGACCAAAGUUUUGCAGUUGAAUUUAUACACCUGGC